rnacentral:rRNA from 1 species
UACGUAGGGGGCAAGCGUUUGUCCGGAAUCAUUGGGCGUAAAGAGCGUGUAGGCGGCCCGGUAAGUCCGCCGUGAAAGUCCAGGGCUCAACCCUGGAAUGCCGGUGGAAACUGCCGGGCUGGAGUCCGGAAGAGGCGAGUGGAAUUCCUGGUGUAGCGGUGAAAUGCGCAGAUAUCAGGAGGAACACCGGUGGCGAAGGCGGGUCUCUGGGCCGAUACUGACGCUGAGGAGCGAAAGCGUGGGGAGCGAACAGG